rnacentral:rRNA from 1 species
UACGGAGGGUGCAAGCGUUAUCCGGAUUCACUGGGUUUAAAGGGAGCGUAGGUGGGGUGGUCAGUCAGUGGUGAAAUCUCCGGGCUUAACUCGGAAACUGCCGUUGAUACUAUCAUUCUUGAAUAUUGUGGAGGUAAGCGGAAUAUGUCAUGUAGCGGUGAAAUGCUUAGAUAUGACAGAGAACACCGAUAGCGAAGGCAGCUUGCUACACAAUUAUUGACACGGAGGCUCGAAAGCGUGGGGAUCAAACAGG